rnacentral:rRNA from 1 species
UACGAAGGGAGCUAGCGUUGUUCGGAAUCACUGGGCGUAAAGCGCACGUAGGCGGACUAUUAAGUCAGGGGUGAAAUCCCGGAGCUCAACUCCGGAACUGCCUUUGAUACUGGUAGCCUAGAGAUCGGAAGAGGUGAGUGGAAUUCCCAGUGUAGAGGUGAAAUUCGUAGAUAUUGGGAAGAACACCAGUGGCGAAGGCGGCUCACUGGUCCGAUACUGACGCUGAGGUGCGAAAGCGUGGGGAGCAAACAGG